AGCCUGCGACGCCCCGGGCCCAGGCUCCGCGGCCGCACUCACCGCCGCGCUCCGCGCCUGCGCCGCACGCCUCAGGGGCCCGCCGAGAGGGCGGGGAGGUGACGAGGGGUGUGUUAACACCUACUUAUUUCUCCAAAUGAGCUGAUUGAAAUGAGACUGUGAACCAACUUGAGUAGACAUGUCCCAUUUGGCCCAAGAAAGAUGCUGACAUGCUGUAUCAAAGAGCCUGGAAAAGAAUAUGCUUUUCACCUACAUGAAUGUCUAGCGGGAAUGUGGAAAGUUCCAUGGCACUCUAGGCGAGUCUUCGUUGUGUGGGACUUUUUCUGCAAGCUGCAGGAUUCUGCCGCAUCUGGCUGUCCACUCCAAUCCUGGUGACAACCGAGAAAAUACCCCAGAGGUUUCCAUAGUGUCCACCAGGGGGUGGCACCGUCCUCUUUGAGAACCACUGCUGUGUAUUAUGUGACUGUAACUGAACUCUACACCGAUUAAUUAAUUAAUACACUACACUAUUAAAUGCUUGUUGGAUGGAAUGACUAAGAGUCUUGCAGAUCCUUGCAACCAUCAUUUUGAACUUUAAGUCACACCGUGGAGAGGCUGUAGAUACAAAUGGAGAUCCAGACAGGGAUAGCCAAAUGUUUUAAUCUUUCAAGCCUGUUCCUACUGGUUGGUGGUUGCUUUAAUGCUAUACACAGAAUAAUUUCUGAGGUAGUCUCCAGCUUGUUCAGUCAUUCAGAAACUAUUUACUGAGUGUCUGUGCUAGGCACUGUUCUAAGAGCUGGUGGUCCAGUAGUGAAUAAAGCAGACAGAUUCAGACCCUCAAGGAGCUAAAUUUUUGAGCUCAGGAGGAACUAACAUUAAAAGUGUCUGCAGUGGGAUCAGGAGCCCACUAGCUAAAAACUUGCUGGACAAGGAGAGUUAAUCUGCUAACCCAGGAACUCUCGUGGAAUUUUAUUUAAAAAAAUUAAGUGUCCCUAAGUUUAUUUCUCUAUAUUCUGUCAUCUUCUCAGAAAGAGAAACAGAAAAUGAAACAAAACAAACAUCUUUUAGUUAGUUGAGAAUUAUGAUUAUUUGAGUUCUUAUCCACAGAGUUAUUCUAUCAUUGUAUUUUGUUUUAAAAUGAAGCAUCUACAUUGCCAUAUUUUAAUUAAUUUUUGGCCAUGCGGGGUUUUUGUUGCUUUGUGUGGGCUUUCUCUAGUUGCAGUGAGCAGGAGCUACCGUCCAGUCGUGGUGCGUGGGCUUCUCAUGUGGUGACUUCACUUGGAGAGCAUGGACUGUAGGGCUUGCAGGCAUCAGUAGUUGAGAUGUGUGGGCUCAGUUGCUCCACCUUCCUGGACCAAGGAUCGAACCCAUGUCCCUUGCAUUCGCAGGCACAUUCCUGUACCAGGAAUCCUGAUUCUAUCAUUUUAAAGGAAGCAUUAGAAUUAAUGACCACAUGUCACUUGACAAGAAAUGAGGGCUUGGUCAAAUCAGAAGCAAGAAUUUAUCUAAAAGUAAGACAGCCAGAUCUACUGUCAACUAAAAAAAGAUGUACAACUUGAGAGUUGUGAGUUAAGUUUUAUUUGGGGCAAAAUGAGGACGGCAGCCCAGGAGGCAGCAUCUCAGAUAGCUCAAAGAGACUGCUCCAAAGUGGCAGUGGGGGAAGGUCACUAUAUAAGGUUUUGAUGAAGGGGGACUUCACUGCCAUGAAGCACUCAUUUUACAAAAGAUUUCUGUUAGU